GAUGAACGCUGGCGGCGUGCCUAAUACAUGCAAGUCGAGCGAACAGACGAGGAGCUUGCUCCUCUGACGUUAGCGGCGGACGGGUGAGUAACACGUGGAUAACCUACCUAUAAGACUGGGAUAACUUCGGGAAACCGGAGCUAAUACCGGAUAAUAUAUUGAACCGCAUGGUUCAAUAGUGAAAGACGGUUUUGCUGUCACUUAUAGAUGGAUCCGCGCCGCAUUAGCUAGUUGGUAAGGUAACGGCUUACCAAGGCAACGAUGCGUAGCCGACCUGAGAGGGUGAUAGGCCACACAGGAAAUGAAAAACGGUCCAGACUCCUACGGGAGGCAGCAGUAGGGAAUCUUCCGCAAUGGGCGAAAGCCUGACGGAGCAACGACGCGUGAGUGAUGAAGGUCUUCGGAUCGUAAAACUCUGUUAUUAGGGAAGAACAAAUGUGUAAGUAACUAUGCACGUCUUGAAGGUACCUAAUCAGAAAGCCACGGCUAACUACGUG
rnacentral:rRNA from 1 species